CCUUUGGCAAAUCCGGGUGGCAAUGGGAAGCCGUGAUGCGGAGCGAAAUAAAGUAGCGAAGUCCGUGAGCCAUGCGUCAAGAAAAGCCGCUAUCAUUUAUACCGUACCCGUACCGUAAACCGACACAGGUGGAUGAGGAGAGAAUCCUAAGGCCGGCGGAAGAAGCAUUGUCAAGGAACUCGGCAAAAUGGCCCCGUAACUUAGGGAUAAGGGGUGCCUGGGAAACCAGGCCGCAGAGAAUAGGCUCAAGCAACUGUUUAGCAAAAACACAGGUCUAUGCGAAACCGAAAGGUGAGGUAUAUGGGCUGACGCCUGCCCGGUGCUGGAAGGUUAAGAGGAGAGGUUAGCGCAAGCGAAGCUUUGAAUUUAAGCCCCAGUAAACGGCGGCCGUAACAAUAACGGUCCUAAGGUAGCGAAAUUCCUUGUCGGGUAAGUUCCGACCCGCACGAAAGGCGUAAUGAUUUGAGCGCUGUCUCGACAAUGCAUCCGGUGAAAUUGAAGUACCAGUGAAGAUGCUGGUUACCUGCGCCAGGACGGAAAGACCCCAUGGAGCUUUACUCCAGUUUGGUACUGGGACUCGGUAUUGCAUGUACAGGAUAGGUGGGAGGCUAGGAGACAGUAACGCCAGUUAUUGUGGAGCCGCUGUUGGGAUACCACCCUUGCAGUAUUGGGUUUCUAACCAGCCGCCGUGACCCGGCGGUGGGACAAUGCCAGACGGGGAGUUUGACUGGGGCGGUCGCCUCCGAAAGGGUAUCGGAGGCGCCCAAAGGUUCCCUCAGAAUGGACGGAAACCAUUCGAAGAGUGCAAAGGCAGAAGGGAGCUUGACUGCGACACCGACGGGUGGAGCAGGUACGAAAGUAGGGCUUAGUGAUCCGGUGGUAUUAAGUGGGAAUGCCAUCGCUCAACGGAUAAAAGCUACCCUGGGAUAACAGGCUUAUCACUCCCAAGAGUUCACAUCGACGGAGUGGUUUGGCACCUCGAUGUCGGCUCAUCGCAUCCUGGGGCUGUAGUAGGUCCCAAGGGUUGGGCUGUUCGCCCAUUUAAGCGGUACGCGAGCUGGGUUCAGAACGUCGUGAGACAGUUCGGUCCCUAUCCGGCGUGGGCGUAGGAUAUCUGAGAGGAGCUGUCCUUAGUACGAGAGGACCGGGAUGGACGGGCCGCUGGUGCAUCGGUUAGACUGCCAAGUCUACGGCCGAGUAGCCAAGCCCGGAAGGGAUAAACGCUGAAGGCAUCUAAGCGUGAAGCCCCCCUUAAGAUGAGAUAUCCCAUUCGAAAGAAGUAAACCCCCUUGAAGACGACGAGGUAGAUAGGGCAGAGGUGGAAGUGUGGCAACACAUGGAGCUGACUGUUACUAAUCGGGUGAGGGCUUGAUC
rnacentral:rRNA from 1 species